AGAGUUUGAUCAUGGCUCAGAUUGAACGCUGGCGGCAUGCUUUACACAUGCAAGUCGAACGGGCCAGGGGGCAACUCCUGGUCAGUGGCGAACGGGUGAGUAAUGCAUCGGAACGUGUCCCGUAGUGGGGGAUAACCCGGCGAAAGCCGGACUAAUACCGCAUAUGCUCUACGGAGGAAAGCGGGGGACCCGAAAGGGCCUCGCGCCAUGGGAGCGGCCGAUGUCCGAUUAGCUUGUUGGUGGGGUAAUGGCCCACCAAGGCGACGAUCGGUAGCUGGUCUGAGAGGAUGAUCAGCCACACUGGGACUGAGACACGGCCCAGACUCCUACGGGAGGCAGCAGUGGGGAAUUUUGGACAAUGGGGGCAACCCUGAUCCAGCCAUGCCGCGUGCGGGAAGAAGGCCUUCGGGUUGUAAACCGCUUUUAGCCGGAAAGAAAAGGCACGGGCCAAUACCCCGUGUUCUUGACGGUACCGGCGGAAUAAGCACCGGCUAACUACGUGCCAGCAGCCGCGGUAAUACGUAGGGUGCGAGCGUUAAUCGGAAUUACUGGGCGUAAAGCGUGCGUAGGCGGUUCGCUGUGUCCUGUGUGAAAGCCCCGGGCUUAACCUGGGAAUUGCAUGGGAAACUGGCGGGCUGGAGUGUGGCAGAGGGGGGUGGAAUUCCGCGUGUAGCAGUGAAAUGCGUAGAGAUGCGGAGGA
rnacentral:rRNA from 1 species